GCCUAGAAGGGAUAGCUCAGGUGGUACAGCAUGAGACUCUUUCUCUCUGGGUUGUGGGUUCGAGCCCCACAUUGGGUG